CUCAACUCACUCGGCUUUGCGGGAGGCUCAAAGCCUCAGGUUAGGGCAGAGGUGCGGGCUUCCUCUGCUCUCUCUCUCCCAAGACACUGGUUUCUGUUUGGGAGCAGAUCCCUUCUUGGAUCCACGCUGCUUCUGCGAUUCUGAACAAACCAUCAAUCUCCUGAGUCUCAGUUCUCCCUUCUGUAUAAUGGCCUUUAAAGCCUGGUGGAGUGUUGGGGGCACAGGAGAUAAUACUGGGGAAAAUCACGCUCUCUCUUAAGUAGAAACCGAAUUUCACUUUUAGUUUACAAUGCUCAGAAUAAUCUGGGCCAAAUGUGCGAAGCCAAGUAAGAGCUGAGUGGCUACUCACACACAGAAUAUAUGUUUAUACACAUACACAUAAUGUUUUUAGCAUACCAGGACUGCUUAGACGUCUUUAAAGAGAACACUAGCCCAGGUCCUUCUCCAGGGAGGCGACUGUCUCCAGCAGGACUUUUUCUCCCCUCUACUGAGGCCACCUACCUGUCUUAAGCCCCCAGACCCCAUCCGUUCUGGGGUUCCCCUGCAAUCCAGAGCCAGGCUGAGGUGGUAUGCGGGAAGAUCUCCCUUUGGAAAAUGUUUCUGGAUAAUUUCCCAACUCCUUGACCAUGUUCUCCCCACCUCACCCACAUUCAGAUAACACAGGUUCUAAGGCUCCUUCACUCCUCCACCCCCGGGGGGGAUACUCCUUGGGCCUGGCCCUGUGGAGGAGCUGGGAGGUGGGAUCCAGAACCAAUUGCAAUUCUGGACGCACACUCAACCGCCUCCUCACUCCCUUUUAACCUUUCCCUCUCGUCAGAAGCCAAAUUGAGAUAGUCUUGAGUUUUGAUUUAAUUCCCGAAAUGGAGUCAUAAUCUGCUUAGUGUCCUUUUUCCCGAGUCCUAGAUACUGAAGUGUGUGUGUCUGUCAGGGGGAGUUAAAAGAGCAGCUCUGUGACCUUUGGAGGACCCUCACACUCACUCAUCUCCCAAACACCACCAAAGAGCAGGAGACGCCAUGGCCCUGAGUUGCUGGGUAGUAUGAUGAUGGUACUGACAACUCACAUUUACUAGGCACUUACCACAUGCCAGUACUGAGACAGGCACUAUACACGCAUUUCUCACUUAAUUCUCACAACUACCUUUCAGGUAGGUACCAUUCAUAUCCCCAAUUUACAGAUGAAGAAACUGAGGCUUAGCGAGGUUAAGCAGUUUAUGUUCCAUCCUGCAGUGAUUACAGACGGUCCUUGACUUAUGAUGCUUUGACUUACAAUUUCUCAGCUUUAUGAUGAUGUGGAAGUGAUAUGCAUUCAUUAGAUACUGUACUUCUAAUACUCAUACAACCACUCUGUUUUUCACUUUCAGUACAGUAUAUUAUAACAUGUUGAAUCUCAUGUUGAAUACAUGAGAUGAAUAAAUAUCUCAUGUUGAAUACAUGAGAUAUUCAACACUUUAUUAUAAAAUAGGCUUUGUGCUAGAUGAUCUUGCCCAACUGUAGGCUGAUGAAAGUGUCCUGAACACUUUAAGGUAAGCGAGGCUGAACUAUGAUGUUUGGUGGGUUAGGUGUAUGAAAUGCAUAUCCACCUUACAAUAUUUUCAACUUACUACAGCUUUAUCGGGACACAGCCUCAUCGUAAGUCAAGGAGAGUCUAUUAUUAAGUGGCAGAGCCCAAAUUUGAAACUACACAGUCAGACUGCAGAGCCUGUGCUCUUAACCACUUAGUUGUGUGACACCUGGCAGGGUAUUUAACUUCUACAUGCCCUGUUCCCUCAUUUGCAAAACACAGAUAAGUAGGGAUGAUAAGAUAUUCCCUUCAAAGAAUUAUGUUGUGUAAUUGAGCUAAGGCAUUCACCAUACUCGCAGUAAGCAUUCAGUAGUUUAGGUGCCCUACACACUGGAGCAAGGUUGAGGAAGGGAAAGGGUACAAUCCAAUGGGCUAUUAAUUAUUCAUUGUUACUGUUGAUAAUAAUAGUUAUCAUGCAUUGAGAUCCAACUGAGCAUUGGCCACCCUACAAGGUAAAAAUUAUGUCUGUUUUACAGAUGAAGAAACUGAGUUUCACAUAGAUUAGGUAAAUUACCUAAAGCCAUCCAGUUAAUAAGUGACAGAACAGAGCUCUUGUUCAAACACUGGGCCCUUGACUCCAAAGCCUGCAGUUCCCAGCACCCCCAGGGUCACCAAAACCUGGCCUCUCCUGGGGGAGGUCAGGGCUGAGGCCAACAAGCCCAAGUCACACCCUUUACCACCUGGGACAUGAUUUUCUCCAGGUGAGCAAUGUUUUCUUAAAAGAACAGGAGGACAGUAAAUAAUUAACUAAGACAGUUUCUCCCUCCCUGAAGCCAAGGUAGAACCUCCCCCCUACAGCCAACCCCCACUCUCCUCACUCCUGUUUCCUCUGGGCUCAAGUUUGUGGCCAUUAAAUAGAAGAGGAGAAAGUUUGAACCAGGCAUGAAAUAUUUAUCAGAACCUGAAGAACAUCUCUCUUUCUUCACAAGAAGCUUGUAACACAAUAACUACCACUUAUCGAGCCCCUGCUGAAUGCUUGGAUCUAUGCAAAUAAAAUUUAAUCUGAUCUACAGAACAACUCUAUAAGGUACAGCUGUUGGGAGCUGCAUCUCCUACCCUCAGUCUCCCUGUCUGUGGUUCCAGAGGGAAGAAGAGGGGAAAAAAAGGAUGAAGAGAAUUGUUUCAGUGCUGGGGGAGGUGAGUUUACAGCAGGGAUUUAGAUGGGCAUUACCUCAUGGGAUAGGAGCAAUUUUCUCCCUCUCCAGGCCUCUCACAGAUGUGAAACAACCGGCAGAUCUGACUUUCCCACCCCUAACCAUCAGAGGGGAUGAUAUGACUUGAAACCUGUGCUUCUCGAUUGAGAGGCUGGUGGGGGAAAGAGAGAUCAGGAAAAGGGUCCAGAUGUGUGUUCAGGGGUCCCCAGAGAGUUGAGGGAAACUAGCAUCUCCUUAGGGUAAGGAAGACAAAAUGACCAUUCCUGAUCCCAGAUUGCUUAGAUACUGUGCCUGGGAGUCCUCCCACCUCACCUUAAUUCCUGUCUCCACACACAGCUUGGCCAAGUUUCUUCCCCUGUUGGAGUCUCACUCCCAAUCCGCUACUCUAUCUCUCCAGGAGCCUACAAAGCACUUUGAAAUCCGAAGUUUGUGGGAAGUGGCUGUAUUGCACAAAUACUCUGAGGUGCAACAUUACUUGACUGGUAAUGAGGCAACCAUCCCACCUAGGGCAGAGUUCAAGGACUGCCUUCAAGAGGGGCUGGCCUCAGUUUGCCUGUUACAGAAGCCAAGGGCUAACAGAGGCUCCCCUCUGCCUCACAAAGAAGGAGAUAAAUGGGUCCACUGGAGAGCAACGGUCACAAUCAAGUCUUAAUGAUGAAUUAAUAAUUCAUAAUUACCCCAGACUUGCAGAUAAGCACAAGCCUACUGGAAUUAUUUCCCAGGGAGGAACACAGUCAGAAAGGGUAAGAAGGGGACUUCAGUACAGACAUUACUUCCAGAGGCCGUUAAGUUCAUUCCUCUGCUUCCCAACCAGAACCCGGAAGAGAUUCAUUAGCUUCCUUGGCUGAUUCCUCCUAACAGCUACCACCCCCUGAGCUUCUAAACAGUGCCAUAUUGCCCCUCUGUUCUUCAUAAGGCCAGAGGACCAUUCCUACCAAAGUGACCUCAGAGCCUGGACUCUGGAUUUCUGGCGUCUCUCUGUUCUCUGCUCCCCAUUCUGCUAUUUACAUACGAGGUCCCCUGUAGGAGGGCCUGGUGCUAGGUGUCCCGGCGAGAUGUGGACAUCUUUCUGGCUCUUCUCCUUCUCUUAUCUAAGUCCUCACAUGGUGGGAAAAUACCUCUCUAACGCUAUGUAGAAAGAGAAGCAGGGAGUGCCCCUUCUAGCGUGGAUGCCUUUGGUUCCCAGAUCUGGAUUUGAGGGGCUGGCUCUAUCUCUUAAGACAUUUACCUAGUAUUGAUAAUGGAGAUGGGGCCUAAAUAGGGCUAGGGAGGCACACCCAACUCCCGACCCAGCUCUCUGCUGUUCCCCUUCCCAGUGCACACAAUCCCAAUUCCCACUCCAGAAAUUUUUUUAAAAACAUAUCUUAAAAGAAACCUCGAAGAGCCAAGCAGACCCUCAGCUUCAAGGUAUCUCCUCAUUCUCUCUCUCUCUCGUUCGCUCUCUCUCUCUCUCUCUCUCUCUGUCUCUCUGAAUCUACAAAGAAGGAGUGAGUUUUGUCUCUCCAAGUACUCAGAGCCUUAGAUCACAAAGGGGCCUUAGAUCCUGGUCUUUAGGAGAUCUUUGACCACCACCUCUGCUGUGGCACGACCUUUGUCAAAAUGCUAGAAAGAAGAGAGACUGGCUCUUAGACCAAGGGAAUUUGGGAUUUGAAAGGUCUUCCAAUUACAAUUCUAUAGAUUUCCUUCCCAUUAGCCUUUUCAUGUGCAUCAAAUGUAAAUGGCAGGCUAAACCUACAGGAUGAAGAGAGUUGAAAGACUGCUGUCUAAAAAUGCCCUUUUCCAAAUCUGUGGGUGCAGAAGCAUAUUGAAAAGCAGCUACCCAGCCUGGCGGUGUGGCACAUGCCUGCAGUCUCACAUA
rnacentral:lncRNA from 1 species